rnacentral:rRNA from 1 species
CCUACGGGAGGCAGCAGUGAGGAAUAUUGGUCAAUGGACGCAAGUCUGAACCAGCCAUGCCGCGUGCAGGAAGACGGCUCUAUGAGUUGUAAACUGCUUUUGUACGAGGGUAAACGCAGAUACGCGUAUCUGUCUGAAAGUAUCGUACGAAUAAGGAUCGGCUAACUCCGUGCCAGCAGCCGCGGUAAUACGGAGGAUUCAAGCGUUAUCCGGAUUUAUUGGGUUUAAAGGGUGCGUAGGCGGUCGGAUAAGUUAGAGGUGAAAUCCCGGGGCUCAACUUCGGAAUUGCCUCUGAUACUGUUCGGCUAGAGAGUAGUUACGGUAGGCGGAAUGUAUGGUGUAGCGGUGAAAUGCUUAGAGAUCAUACAGAACACCGAUUGCGAAGGCAGCUUACCAAGCUACUUCUGACGUUGAGGCACGAAAGCGUGGGGAGCGAACAGGAUUAGAUACCCCAGUAGUC